rnacentral:rRNA from 1 species
UACGAAGGGGGCUAGCGUUGCUCGGAAUCACUGGGCGUAAAGCGCACGUAGGCGGAUUGCUAAGUCAGGGGUGAAAUCCUGGAGCUCAACUCCAGAACUGCCUUUGAUACUGAAGAUCUUGAGUUCGGGAGAGGUGAAUGGAACUGCGAGUGUAGAGGUGAAAUUCGUAGAUAUUCGCAAGAACACCAGUGGCGAAGGCGGCUCACUGGCCCGGUACUGACGCUGAGGCACGAAAGCGUGGGGAGCAAACAGG